rnacentral:rRNA from 1 species
GAUGAACGCUGGCGGCGUGCCUAAUACAUGCAAGUCGAGCGAACGGACGAGAAGCUUGCUUCUCUGAUGUUAGCGGCGGACGGGUGAGUAACACGUGGAUAACCUACCUAUAAGACUGGGAUAACUUCGGGAAACCGUAGCUAAUACCGGAUAAUAUUUUGAACCGCAUGGUUCAAAAGUGAAAGACGGUCUUGCUGUCACUUAUAGAUGGAUCCGCGCUGCAUUAGCUAGUUGGUAAGGUAACGGCUUACCAAGGCAACGAUGCAUAGCCGACCUGAGAGGUGAUCGGCCACACUGGAACUGAGACACGGUCCAGACUCCUACGGGAGGCAGCAGUAGGGAAUCUUCCGCAAUGGGCGAAAGCCUGACGGAGCAACGCCGCGUGAGUGAUGAAGGUCUUCGGAUCGUAAAACUCUGUUAUUAGGGAAGAACAUAUGUGUAAGUAACUGUACACAUCUUGACGGUACCUAAUCAGAAAGCCACGGCUAACUACGUG